GACGAACGCUGGCGGCGUGCUUAACACAUGCAAGUCGAACGGUAAGGCCCUUCGGGGUACACGAGUGGCGAACGGGUGAGUAACACGUGGGUGAUCUGCCCUGCACUUCGGGAUAAGCCUGGGAAACUGGGUCUAAUACCGGAUAGGACCCUGGGAUGCAUGUCCUGGGGUGGAAAGCUUUUGCGGUGUGGGAUGGGCCCGCGGCCUAUCAGCUUGUUGGUGGGGUGAUGGCCGACCAAGGCGACGACGGGUAGCCGGCCUGAGAGGGUGACCGGCCACACUGGGACUGAGAUACGGCCCAGACUCCUACGGGAGGCAGCAGUGGGGAGAAUUGCACAAUGGGCGCAAGCCUGAUGCAGCGACGCCGCGUGAGGGAUGACGGCCUUCGGGUUGUAAACCUCUUUCAGCACCGACGAAGCGCAAGUGACGGUAGGUGCAGAAGAAGGACCGGCCAACUACGUGCCAGCCGCCGCGGUAA
rnacentral:rRNA from 1 species